AGAAAUUAUGAUGUAUAUCAUAUUGUAUCUAUCAGUGAUGGGCAAAAUAUUAUUUUAAGAUUUCUUUUCUCUUUUUAAAUAUACUUUACAAUUACCUUGUUCACUUGGUUGAUUUAUUUUUUUUAGGACUUAGCCUGAAUUCUAUAAUGAAUUAAUUUUAUAAUGUGUAUUUGUUCAAUUACAAUAAAAAUUUAUUUCCUAAACAUUCUAUUUUCAGUCACUUCACAACCUUUCAUCGAUUUGUUCAUUCGCAUCUCUGUAAACAACAUUAUGAAAUCUACAAAGCGUCAUAUCUUACUGCUUAGAAGUAGUGAAAAGAGCACUGCAGUUCGGUUUGAUGAAAUUAAGUAUUUUUCCGUGCAGGUUCCCCGACGUCAAGAUGAUACACGGAAUAAUAUUUCCUUGGAACUAAUGCAACAUAGCAAGACAGAAGUUUAUCCUGUCUUAUUAGGGAAUGCUGAGGUACAUCUUUAUGAAGUAAUUCAGUUUAUCUGCAGGUUGGAGGUGGAAUUUAUGUUCUCCUAUGGAAAUUUUGGUUAUGGAUUUUCACAUCAGGUUAGUUCCCCUCUUUUAAAAACUUUGAUUCUAUUUUGA
ensembl:lincRNA